GUGUGAUCAACACUAUUAGAAAAAUAUUUUUAAAAUAUAAAACCAGUCUGAUUAGACUAACUGUACAUUCUCGUGAAUCUCGAAGAAAAAUCUCUUGAUUUUGUAAUUUUCAGAUGAUAACUGUUGUGCUCAGAUGACCGUGCUGGAGAUUGUUGAUAGUUUUAGAUUUAAUGCGCGGAAGGAGUAUGUUGUAUCCUAAGGAAUGCUUCAAUUAUGGCUCGGCCUUUGGGCCAAUUGGGGUUCUAAUGGAUAACGGAUUUAUUACAAGGAUCCUGGGAACUGCUUCGAUAUUGGCUCGGCCUGCCGACCAAGUACACUGGCUGUAAUCGUCAACAGAUUUAUUAGACUGACCGUGCAGGCCCUGGGAUAUCUCACCGUUUUCAAUUCUUUCGUACCCACGGCGUAUUGAACGUUCUGUGCUGUUGAUUUUCGUUAAGACCGUCCUCCCCUCACCAAAAAGAUCGCAAUAAAAAUCUGUCUGCAUUGUUGUUAUCGAUCGACCCGGUAACGUCUGGCUGUUUGACACGGAUCGCUGUGCGUUGUUCUCUUUUGGAGCUCAUCGAAAACGCCAGUAGACUUCUAUCAACCGUGUACUUCGAUAUUAUCUUUUUUAAUAGACCAUUUCUAUAGUAACAAUUAACAUGUAUUUUUAUUGUUCCCUGCGUGGAAAAUUACAUUGAAAUUUUUUAACGCUCAUUAUUUAAGUAUGGAAAAACACAUUAAAAUCCAAGCUGAUAAUUUAAAGUGAAAUAAUAAAUUCGCGGCGCAUCGUUUAUAAAAACUGUGAAUUUCGAAAAAAAAUUUUGAUUAAUUUCGAGUCUUUGAUUUCUCUAAAGUAAAUACCAUUACCGUAUACACUGGGGUAUUUUAUAAAUCCCCAAUCCGAUAAGAUUUUGUUUACAUCGAGUUUGUAAUGUUAACAACAAAACCAUUUAAAAGUGAGACAAAUAAUCUCGCCUGUAAACAUAUUUUUUUCUCUCAUAUGUCAACCGUGAUUUUCUUAUUGUUGUGUUCUUGAUUUUUACAAUGAUUUCUGCACUCGCCAUAAGCAUAUAUAUAUAGCAUAUACAUAUAUAUAUAUAUAUAUAUCGUUUUGUAUUUUUAUAUAUAUUUUCUUUGAACUAUUUUUUUUAAAUUGCUCCGAGCAAUUAUUCCAUACGAUUAUGUGUGCUUAUUUAUGUAAGCAAAAUAAAUUAAUAAUAAUCAUGAAAAUCAAU